rnacentral:rRNA from 1 species
UACGAAGGGGGCUAGCGUUGUUCGGAUUUACUGGGCGUAAAGCGCACGUAGGCGGUUUGUUAAGUCAGGGGUGAAAUCCCGGAGCUCAACUCCGGAACUGCCUUUGAUACUGGCAAGCUAGAGUCCGGAAGAGGUAAGUGGAACUCCUAGUGUAGAGGUGGAAUUCGUAGAUAUUAGGAAGAACACCAGUGGCGAAGGCGGCUUACUGGUCCGGAACUGACGCUGAGGUGCGAAAGACGUGGGGAGCAAACAGG